GGAUGAUAUAGAACGAAAUAGAUGAUCAAAUCUUUUAUGUUACCGGACAGGUAUAAACGGCCAAAUCUAGAAAUGGAAAAUCUUUGCUGAAAACAGGCGAUAAGCUUGCAAGUCAUUGAUCAUUAUUCAGGAAGUCUGCAAAUUCCUAGAACACACACACACCCUACUUUACAAGCAAAAGUAACAAUAAUCAAUCCUCAGUGCCAUGAUGGCCAAAUGACAAAAAUAGCACAAUCAAUUGUAAUGCAAGAUGCUACUCCAGAGUUGUAACCAAGACAAGACUAAACCUACAACCCAGCAACUAAGAACUGUUUUCUAGAUGUGUUAUCUCUCUGAAUGGGUGCGAUCUAAACAACAUUAAAAGAAAGAGCAUAACGUGAUGCAAGUAUAACAAGUAAUGCAAGAGAAAAAAUAACAUGGUCAUGAGGUGCAUAAAGAACCAAAGCUCUGAUUUCUGAAGAGUUAAGCAAUAUAGUCAACGCACAGGAAGAGCAAAGAUAUCCUCACCACUUUAGAUAAUAUUAUUGAUCAAACAGAGAGCCAGAAGAACUUUUGGCUCCAUAUUAAUCUGACUGCUUCACAAUUCCUGAUUAUGUGUUUCUGAAAAUUAGACCUGUGUGGAAUUGAUAAGUUAUACCAUACCACCUCAUACAUAUUAUCAUUGAAAUUGCUGGACCAAAUGUGCUUGUAGCACUUAAAUUUAACAGUCAUUUGCAAAACCUAAAUAGUCACCGUAAAGUCCUGAACCAUAUGCCCUCUGAAAAAAGUAUUCAUUCAACAUCCUCAUCAUCCAUUUCAAAUUGUAUAUCACCAAACUAUAUUUCUAAAUCACACUUAGUCACCCUGAUUUAUAUUCAAUUCAUUUAACAAAAUUCAGUUCCUCUAUAACCUCAAGGUACUCCAGCUCAUGAAAGUCGUUAUUGAGCAGCAUCUCAAAUAACCAACCAAGAACACAUCAAAAGAUUGCAGGGGGAUGAGGAAACAAACUUUCUUCAUAACAACAUCCGAAGCUAUAACAUUAAUUUGCAAUUUUUUUAAGGUAUGUACUUUUAUCAGCCUUGGAUUUUUGCAUUUGCAUUAAAGAGAUUUAUGUCAAAUGUGGGUCACUCAGAGAAACUAAAUUCUUUUUCCUUUUUUCUCCUUCUCUCCAAUGGUUCCUGCAUUCUCUUUUAUGCCUAUUUACAUUAUGUUUUCCUAUUAUUCUAGUUCUCACUUUUUACACACAUUCCUCAGCUUCAUCAAUUCAGCUGACAUGAUGACUUGAGGAAAGUAACAAAACCCAAUAUUGACUCUCAAAUCUCAGAUGGUUUAGGUUUCCAAACUAUAAAGCCCAAGCUCAACUAACCCCAACAGUAAUCUAUAAAGCCCAAGCUCAACUAACCCCAACAGUUAUCUUAGUCGGUCACCCUGACUGCAAGCUUCCUCAAUUUCACAUAGAUCUCAGUUUGUUUUUCUCUUUCACAAAUUGAUAACUCAACUCUAAACCCUAAUGAUAUUCUUACAAGGAAAAAAAAAAGUUAAAAAAAUUGAUUAACAAAAUCAACAUAGUUUCUCAGGGCCAGAUAAAAUAAUAAUUAAAAAAAAAACAAGCAAGAAUCCAAAAAUCAGAACCAAAACAAAAAAUCAUUAAGAAAAUAACUAAAGCUCACUAAAUAAUCAAAAACCCGUAAUUAAGAUUGAAACAAGAGCACAGCCUCAAAAAACCC